rnacentral:rRNA from 1 species
GAUGAACGCUAGCGGGAGGCCUAACACAUGCAAGCCGAACGGUAUGGGUAGCUUGCUACCCAGAGAGCGGCGUACGGGUGCGUAACACGUGUGCAACCUGCCCCUAUCCGGGGGAUAGCCCUCCGAAAGGAGGAUUAAUACCCCAUAAUAUAUCUGGUGGCAUCACUAGAUAUUGAAAACCCCGGUGGAUAGGGAUGGGCACGCGCAAGAUUAGAUAGUUGGCGGGGUAACGGCCCACCAAGUCGAUGAUCUUUAGGGGUCCUGAGAGGGAGAUCCCCCACACUGGUACUGAGACACGGACCAGACUCCUACGGGAGGCAGCAGUGAGGAAUAUUGGACAAUGGGUGGAAGCCUGAUCCAGCCAUCCCGCGUGAGGGACGACGGCCCUAUGGGUUGUAAACCUCUUUUGUACGGGGAUAAACCUAUCUACGUGUAGAUAGCUGAAGGUACCGUACGAAUAAGCACCGGCUAACUCCGUG